rnacentral:misc_RNA from 1 species
CAAGCACGGUAGACCUGGUAUUGGUGCUACUCACUCGUCAAGGUUCAUUCCGCUCAAGUGAUUUCCUCACCUAUGUCUAUUUUUCCUGUUCUAGCCUCAUCAACGCCUUUCUUUAACAAUUUUGAUGUGAGAUAAUGAGUCACUUAAACCAGUUUUUGCUGUAGAACUCUUGUGCUUUUGCUGAAUAUCACUGAUGGAUCAGUAAAAAUUAUAAUGUACUCUUGACUCUACCAUCCUCAUAUUCCACUCAUGG